UACGUAGGGGGGCAAGCGUUUGUCCGGAUUUACUGGGCGUAAAGCGCGUGUAGGCGGCUACGCAGGUCCGUUGUGAAAACUGGAGGCUCAACCUCCAGACGUCGACGGAAACCGUGUGGCUAGAGUCCGGAAGAGGAGAGUGGAAUUCCUGGUGUAGCGGUGAAAUGCGCAGAUAUCAGGAAGAACACCAACGGCGAAGGCAGCUCGCUGGGACGGUACUGACACUGAGGCGCGAAAGCGUGGGGAGCGAACAGG
rnacentral:rRNA from 1 species